UACGUAGGGUGCAAGCGUUAAUCGGAAUUACUGGGCGUAAAGCGUGCGCAGGCGGCUUUGCAAGACAGAUGUGAAAUCCCCGGGCUCAACCUGGGAACUGCAUUUGUGACUGCACGGCUAGAGUACGGUAGAGGGGGAUGGAAUUCCGCGUGUAGCAGUGAAAUGCGUAGAUAUGCGGAGGAACACCGAUGGCGAAGGCAAUCCCCUGGACCUGUACUGACGCUCAUGCACGAAAGCGUGGGGAGCAAACAGG
rnacentral:rRNA from 1 species